CGGAACCAGCCCUGCCGCUCCCUCUUGUGAUCCCAUUCUCAAGAGCGGCUUUCUGCGCCGCGUGGCAUCUCCUUCGCUUCAGCGCCCUUGUGCGACUAUUGCGGCAACUACUUAGGCUCCUACGGGACGAGGAGAGGGAGAUAUCCAUACGGCCAUUUAAAAUAUUCAAGGCAUAGCGAACGAUGCUGAGCAGAGGAGGACAAGAAGAAAGAGCAGUUUAUUUUAUAGGAAGACGGUGGCUGGUUCGAUUGGCUCACUACCCGUCUAGGAGUUAACCCAGGCUUGGAGGCCUGCAUGGCCUGUGCCGAGAGGCUCUCAGGCGCCCUCUGCUGUCGAGUUGGCCACUUGUUCCCGAGGGUUCUGGCUUCGCACCUGGCUCUCUCGACCAGCGCCUUCCAAACUCGCUUUUCACAAAUGGCCCUUUCUCACCAUUUGUGGGCCGAUGUGAUUCUAGGAGGCUAGAGUGCAAUAGCAUGAACUUCCACCUCCCGGGGUCAAGCGAUUCUCCUGCCUCAGCCUCCCAAGCAGCUGGGAUUACAGGCAAGUGCCACAGCCACACCCAGCUAAUUUUUUUAUUUUUAGUAGAGACGCGGUUUCUCCAUGUUGGUCAGGCUGGUCUUGAACUCCCAUCCUCAGGUGAUCUGCCUGCCUCGGCCUUCCAAAGUGCUGGGAUUACAGGUGUGAGUCACUGCACCUGUCUCCUAGUCACAUUUUUAACCUGCCUCCUUUCAAUAAAGUGGAAAAAAAAACUGCUCUCAAAGAAACGCUGUAUUUUCUGUUAUCUUUACCAAUCAGAAAAGUCUUUCAGCCAUAUAUACAUAUUAUGAAAUCAGAAGCUGGUUUUCAACAAAUGUGAAUAUUGAACAUGUACUCCCCUCAACACACCCUGAGGGAAGAUCUCCCUAGAAUCAAUGGUCUAGAAUCUUCUCACAUGUAUUACACUCCACGCCCGCUUCUAUUUUCCAUCCCCUAGCAGUCUCUUAGACUAUGCAUUCACCUUUGAACUAUAAUUCUGGGACCUUAUCCAUUUAUGUCCACUUGCUAGCUGUGUGGCAGCAAGUAAAUCACCAAACUACUCUGAACUAAAAGCAUCAACCUCAUAGAGUCUAUUCAUUUAUUCACUCAACACUUGUCAACCGAGCACCUACUCCAGUCGAACCCUAGGCUGGGUGCUGGUAGUAUGUCAGUAAACAAGGCAAAUGCUUUCCUUACUCUCGUGAAAUUGGCCACCCAGUGGGGGAGCCAGACAAUAAACCAAUAAAUACAAAACUGGUGGUAAGUAUGUCAAUGUAAAGAACAUGGUAAAACCGGAAAGAAUACAAAGACUUCUAACUUAGGAUGUAGGGCAUGGGAGGCCACUCCAAGGAAGGGAUGCGAAAGCUGAACCUAAAGGACAAAUAAGAAUGAGUCAGGUGAAAGAUGGUAGGCAGUGAAUUCAAGCUGGGAAGUUUUCAUAUAUUCCAAAAGAGGCCAUGUGACUAGAUGGUGAGGAGUGAGAAGAGAGGCUCCAAAGUAGUUCAAAGAGUUAAGCAGGAGACAGAUGGGGCAAAGCUUUGAAGGCCAUGCUAAGAAUUUUAAAUCAAAUCCCAAGGUAUAGUGGAAAGCCACUGUAUUAUUUUUAAUCACUGACAUGAUCUGAUACAGGUUUGGAAAAAACUAAUUUGGCUAAUAUGAAGAUAACAGAUGGGAGGGAAUUGGUAGCGAGUGCAGGAGCCUAGGAGCUAUUGCAGGUGUUCGGGAAAGAGCUGAUGAUAGCAGUUUGGUUAUGGGUAGCAACAGUGGAAGUGGUAAGUAACCAUAUUCAGAACAUAUUUUGAAGGAAGGGCACACAGAUAUGCUGACACAAUAUAUGUGAGGCUGAGAGGAAGGUAUCAUGGAUAGUGUCUUUGUUUAGGCUGCUACAACAAAAUAUCAUAGACUGGCUGGCUCAAACAACAAAAAUUUAUUUUCUCACAGUUCUAGAGGCUGGAAGUCCAAGGUCAGAAUGCCAUUGUGGUCAGGUUCUGGUGAGGGUUAUCUUCCUGGCUUGCAGUUGGCUGCCUUCUCUCUGUGUUCUCACUGGCCUUUCCUUUCGCAUUCCAGUGGCGAGAAAGAGAAAGGAGGGAGAAAAGGAAGAGAAGGGAGAGAGAGAAUCAUCUCCUCUUCCUCCCCCACGCCCCACUCACCCCGCCCCCCCCACAUCUUGCUCUGUUUCCCAGGCUAGAGUGCAGUGGUGCAACCUUGGCUCACUGCAACCUCUGCCUCUCAGGUUCAAGUGAUUCUCCUACUUCAGCCUCCUGAGUAGCUGAGAUUACAGGCACGUGCCACCACACCCAGCUAAUUUUUUUUAUAUUUUUAGUAGAAACAGGGUUCCGCCCACCUCGGCCUCCCAAAGUGCUGGGAUUAUAGGCAUGAGCCAUCACACCAGGCCAAUCUCCCUCUUCUUAUAAGGUUAUAAGGCAACCAAUCCUAUUGGAUUAGGACCCUACCCUAUGACCUCAUUUAACCAUAAUUAUCACCUAUCUACAAAUGCAGUCACAUUGGAGAUUACAACUUCAACAUAGGAAUUUGAGGCAGGGCACAAUUAAGUCAACUGCAGAUGGCAAGUAGGUCUCUGGCUAUGAGAGUGAGGACUCAGGGAGGAGCAGUUCUAAGAAAUUGCUCUGUGUUAGUUUGUUGCACUGCUAUAAAGAAAUAUCUGAGACUGGGUAAUUUAUAAAGAGAAAAGAGGUUUAAUGGACUCAGUUACACAGGCUGUAGAGGAAGCAUGGCUUGGAGGCCUCAGGAAACUUACAAUAAUGGUGGAAGGGGAAGCAGGUAUGUUCACACAGCCAGAGCAGGAGGAAGAGAAGAGAGGUGCUACACAUUUAAAGAGCCAGAUCUCACAAUUACUCAAUUACUCACUAUAAUGAGAACAAAACCGAAAGGGAAGUCUGCCCCUAUGAUCUAAUCACCUCCCACCAGGCCCCACUUCCAACAUUGGGAAUUAAAAUUUGAUAUGUAUUUGCAAUAUCAAUUGCUACAUACCAAGUUCUCUCUGUUUUGAGCCUCUGUAACAGUCACAAUGUCAGGUACUGCUGGUGCCAAAGGUGGAAUUAUGCAUUGUGCUGCCUACAAUCAAUGGUAAGUCUCCAAGAAACCAAGGUCUCGUGUACAAGCCAGGUGGGGCUAUUGAAUGGAGAAACAGUCUCAUGAAACACUUUGGCCUCCUUAAGCUCAGCAAUUAUGGCAAUUAUUCUUUUUCUCCCCUAGGCAGCUGACAUUAUUUUUGGGAAACAACAGUACUAGAUGUUGGUCAUCAGAUGGGUCCAUGGUCUUCUAUAUUCCCCACUAAAGUGGCCAAAACUAUUGCAAUUCCUGUCAGGGGUUGGGGGCAAAGGCUAGUGGGGGUGCACAUGGAAAACACAUCAGUACCAAUAUUUCAUUCAGUACUGGGGGCCAUGACAAUGGAGGUUAGUAGGAACCCCAAAUCAGAGAACACUAUCUGUUUUCCUGUCAUCUUGAUGAAAGGGUUUGUGGGGAUCGCAGUCGCCUGUGUACUGGUAUCUAAAAGGCCUAACAAGUGCAAUUCCUCUUCACUUUUCAGUUGAACUCUAACCUUGGCAUAGGGCCUCUGGGUCCCCUAGGUACCGACGGAUCUUGUUUCCAACCCCUAAUCUUUGGAUCUUUGUUUGUAACGCCUAAUCUUGUUUAUAUUUGAAAGCUGAGUGUCAGAGCAAAAGUUGCAAAGGAUCUCUGGUUUGUCUCCAGAUCCACCAGGAGAGGUGGAGGACCAUCACUGUGCAGACUGUACCAGACCACUUAUCAAAUCCCCAUGGCCUGGUACUUGGCCCUGAGUUCCUUAGUAGGGAGCCCAUCAAUCUCCUGCUUUUGUGGUUAAAUUAUUGAGUAAUAAAACUCAAAAAUCUCUUUGGGGAGGCCCUUGCCCAGAUAGUCCAGAAGAGGGCACCCAAGUACUAUUUUUAGGCUCCUUUUUUAGAGGGUAGGAGGUCAAAUUUUGCUAUCUUUCUCAGAAGCUACUUUUUCUGUGCCUGAGAAUUUCUCAGUUAAGAUCUGAAUUACGUUGCAGAUUGAUGGAUGUGACGUCAGGAGGUGGCUUAAUUGGGCCUGACAAAAAGCAGGAGCAGCACGAACAAACCUAUACAUCUAAAUCUGGUUAAUCUUAUCAUCUGCUGUUUCCACUCCCUCAUAGUAGACCCAAGAGACCACCAGGAGGGCUGCAGGACCUCCAUAGCCUUGUGAAGGUGGUUAAGACACGUUCUUCAGUGACUAGGUACUCAUCAUUUGUGGACCAAAUCAGUCAGAGACCAAAUAGUACCCAGAUGAGGAAAGAGAUGGCCCUUGGCAUACAUACACACUCAUCUCCCCACCUUGCUUCUCCUCCUUAGGGAAAGUGGCCACUGUCAAGGCACUAUGGAGGAAGGGGAUCUAUAGUGAUGUACCCCUCAAGGAGCCACUUUCCUUUAUGAAGUUUAUUUAACAAGAUAACAAGAUUACCUUUUUCUCAAAGGAAGCAAACUAGCCAAGUCUCUAUGGUCUCUUCCUCUAAGUAAAUCUUCCUUCUGUCUUGGCUGCUGGGCAUUGACCUAUCUAGUGAGAUCACUGGAAAAAGGGAUCCGAAAGACCUCUACAUUAUUUUUAUUAGAAGCAUGAGUCUCAAUAACAUCCUGCAUGGCAAGUUGUCUGUCAGCCCCAGGGAACUGCUUAGAUCUAGGAAUAGUGUUGGGGUACAAGCCAGUUUGCAGGGCCUCCAGUAAUUUGCCCCAUCAUCAGAGAACAGUAUCCAGGGAAUUGUUUCUGUGGCUUUCUUAGAGAUCCUCUGCUGAAUCUCUAAUUUGAUCCACUAGGUUACCUCAGUCAAAAUAAAAGUAACAGUUGGGCUUUAAUCAUUUCCUUUGAUAGCAUAAGCAAGGGACUGAACCAGAAAAAGUACUGAGUCCUCCAUUAUUCCAUUUUCCUCAUGGAGUGGCUCCAACAGGGGUCUGCUGGAUUAGCACAGAUGCAGGGCAUCAUCAUCUCACUGUUAAGGGAGUCCUGAACAAAAAGCUCCUGCCACUUUAUGGACCCCGGGGAAGGAGGAAUUGAUGGGGAAGGGCUAGGAGUUGAAAAGUACUGAGUACUGAGUCAGUGUUGAGAAAAAAAUAUUUUUAGGCACCCCCCGCUCCACACACCAUGGCAAAAAGAGGUCUUAAGCUGAGGUGCUGGAGGAAGCCUCUGCAAAAGGCUCCUGAUAAAGCAAACUCCAAAUGGAGGCACCUGGUCUAGGAAUUACUGGAUAUAAUGAGUUCUAAAUUUCUCUUCAAAGAGUCAGUAUGUCAUUAGGUUCAGUUAUUUGUCCUUCAUUUUAAAGUUUAACUUCCUUCUAGUUCCAGUAAACAACCUUCUCCACCAGUUGUAAUCAGUAGUUCACAUCUGUUCCCCCUGGUCCCGGCUCCAUCCUGACUCAUCCUGGUCACCUGCUUCAAUCAUCUGCUCCAGUCACCUGCUCUGGUCAUCUUCCUUUGACUUAGGUCACCCCUGGCUACCUGCUCUGACCUGCCUGUAACCAUCCUUCCUGACAAACCACCCACCCUGCCACUCCAGCUCGGACCCCUGCUCUCUUUAAAAUAGCCAAUCUGGAUUAGUCUAGCUUGUGUAGUCUAACCCUAGCCAAUAGGGGAACAAUACAGCAGUUAGGGACGACCCUUGUCAGGCAUAAGUAUCCCUUUUCCUCACUUGUCCAAAUGUGCAGUCACAAUUGCUCCAUCCA